rnacentral:rRNA from 1 species
GUAGGGAAUAUUGCGCAAUGGGGGAAACCCUGACGCAGCGACGCCGCGUGAGUGAUGAAGGCCUUAGGGUCGUAAAGCUCUGUUGAAUGGGAAGAAAAAAAUGACGGUACCAUUCGAGGAAGGACCGGCUAACUUCGUGCCAGCAGCCGCGGUAAGACGAGGGAUCCUAGCGUUGCUCGGAAUCAUUGGGCGUAAAGAGGGCGUAGGUGGCUUGGUAAGUCAGGUGUGAAAGCACAGGGCUCAACCCUGGAAGUGCAUUUGAUACUGCUGAGCUUGAGUGUCGGAGAGGUUACCGGAAUACCUGGUGUAGUGGUGAAAUACGUAGAUAUCAGGUGGAACACCGGAGGCGAAGGCGGGUAACUGGACGAACACUGACACUGAGGCCCGAAAGCGUGGGGAUCAAACAGGAUUAGAAACCCCUGUAGUCC